rnacentral:rRNA from 1 species
UACGGAGGAUGCGAGCGUUAUCCGGAUUUAUUGGGUUUAAAGGGUGCGUAGGCGGACUGUCAAGUCAGCGGUAAAAUUGAGAGGCUCAACCUCUUCCCGCCGUUGAAACUGGUGGUCUUGAGUGGAUGAGAAGUACGCGGAAUGCGUGGUGUAGCGGUGAAAUGCAUAGAUAUCACGCAGAACUCCGAUUGCGAAGGCAGCGUACCGGCGCCACACUGACGCUGAGGCACGAAAGCGUGGGGAUCGAACAGG